rnacentral:rRNA from 1 species
UGGGGAAUAUUGCACAAUGGGGGAAACCCUGAUGCAGCAACGUCGCGUGAGUGAGGAAGUAUUUCGGUAUGUAAAGCUCUAUCAGCAAGGAAGAAAAUGACGGUACUUGACUAAGAAGCCCCGGCUAACUACGUGCCAGCAGCCGCGGUAAUACGUAGGGGGCAAGCGUUAUCCGGAUUUACUGGUUGUAAAGGGAGCGUAGGCGGCAGGGCAAGCCAGAAGUGAAAGCCCGGGGCUUAACCCCGGGACUGCUUUUGGAACUGUCCCGCUAGAGUGUCGGAGAGGUAAGUGGAAUUCCUAGUGUAGCGGUGAAAUGCGUAGAUAUUAGGAGGAACACCAGUGGCGAAGGCGGCUUACUGGACGAUAACUGACGCUGAGGCUCGAAAGCGUGGGGAGCAAACAGGAUUAGAUACCCUGGUA